rnacentral:rRNA from 1 species
AAUGAACGCUGGCGGCGCGCCUAAUACAUGCAAGUCGAGCGAGAAGACGUAGCAAUACGUUUGUAAAGCGGCGAACGGGUGAGGAAUACAUGGGUAACCUACCCUCGAGUGGGGAAUAACUAGCCGAAAGGUUAGCUAAUACCGCGUACGCUCCUUGGACUUCGGUUCAGGGAGGAAAGCGAUACCGUGGGUAUCGCGCUCUUGGUUGGGCUCAUGUCCUACCAGCUUGUUGGUGAGGUAACGGCUCACCAAGGCUUCGACGGGUAGCUGGUCUGAGAGGACGAUCAGCCACACUGGCACUGCGACACGGGCCAGACUCCUACGGGAGGCAGCAGUAAGGAAUAUUGCGCAAUGGGCGAAA